rnacentral:rRNA from 1 species
CAGGACGAACGCUGGCGGCGUGCCUAACACAUGCAAGUCGAACGGACGAGGGGAGCUUGCUCCCCAAGUUAGUGGCGGACGGGUGAGUAACACGUGAGCAACCUGCCCUUCGGAGGGGGACAACAGCCGGAAACGGCUGCUAAUACCGCAUGACAUAUCCCUGAGGCAUCUCGGGGAUAUCAAAGAUUUAUCGCCGAAGGAUGGGCUCGCGUCUGAUUAGCUGGUUGGUGAGGUAACGGCUCACCAAGGCGACGAUCAGUAGCCGGACUGAGAGGUUGAACGGCCACAUUGGGACUGAGAUACGGCCCAGACUCCUACGGGAGGCAGCAGUGGGGAAUAUUGGGCAAUGGGGGGCCAACCCUGACCCAGCAACGCCGCGUGAAGGAAGAAGGCUUUCGGGUUGUAAACUUCUUUGACGAGGGACGAUAAUGACGGUACCUCGAAAACAAGCCACGGCUAACUACGUGCCAGCAGCCGC